UAUUACCCUGCUUCCACCUUAUUAUGCAUGUAUAUGCAUUUUACAGAGUUCUCACAGCCUGAUAGUAGAAUAAUUAUGAUAAAAGCUCUUGAUGCACUAUUGUUACGCUGUCAUUUCAUCAUAUCCGCCUUUGAACAGGGUAUCCAUGCCACAUGUUGACUUAAGUAGAUUGUUAUUUGGUGCUGAAUAUUUUGGGUUUCUUAGAAACUAGAAAAUGGGAUCCAAGCCUUCAUUUGUUAUCGUUUCCUGUACUUGGAAAACUUUCAAAUCCUGAUUCAUUCUGUUCAAACCAUCUCGCGGCAUCUCUUUGUUUUCCUCAAAAUAUCAAAAGAACGAUUCUUUAUUAUGAUAAAAGUUGCUUUACAAUGGAACCUAAUUCAGGAAAUAUUCGUUCCUUCUGGUGUUAUAAUCUCAUUGGUUUAUUUUAUACUCGUAAAUAACAGAUAUGCCUACUCCGAUGAUGGUGAAGAGUUCGACAAGGACGUUACGUUGACACUCAUAAAGCCCUCCCCUCUGCCAAAGGAUGUUAGAAGCCAACCUGAAGUGAGGCCAACACUGGGUAACGAUGGGUUACCUGAUGGUGAUGAGGUAGAAGACAAGACAGAGUAAAGCAAGACACAAAUUUUUUUGGUGACGAUGGGCUACCUAAUGGUGAUGAGGUAGAAGACAAGACGGAGUAAACAAGACACAAAUUUUUUUGUAAUAUGAUAAAGAGAGGUGCCAUGAGUUGAGUAAAUCGUUGUUAGAAUCUUGUAGCUCGUGUUGUCUGUAUAAAAAGUACGAAGG
rnacentral:lncRNA from 1 species